GAUCCUGGCUCAGGAUGAACGCUAGCUACAGGCUUAACACAUGCAAGUCGAGGGGCAGCAUGAACUUAGCUUGCUAAGUUUGAUGGCGACAGGCGCACGGGUGAGUAACACGUAUCCAACCUUCCGUUUACUCAGGGGAUAGCCUUUCGAAAGAAAAGAUUAAUACCUGAUAGUAUGGUGAGAUUGCAUGAUAGCACCAUUAAAGAUUUAUUGGUAAACGAUGGGGAUGCGUUCCA
rnacentral:rRNA from 1 species